CCUACGGGAGGCAGCAGUAGGGAAUAUUGCUCAAUGGGGGAAACCCUGAAGCAGCAACGCCGCGUGGAGGAUGAAGGUUUUCGGAUUGUAAACUCCUUUUGUUAGAGAAGAUAAUGACGGUAUCUAACGAAUAAGCACCGGCUAACUCCGUGCAAGCAGCCGCGGUAAUACGGAGGGUGCAAGCGUUACUCGGAAUCACUGGGCGUAAAGAGCGCGUAGGCGGGAUAGCAAGUCAGAUGUGAAAUCCUAGGGCUUAACCAUAGAACUGCAUUUGAAACUGUUAUUCUAGAGUAUGGGAGAGGUAGGUGGAAUUCUUGGUGUAGGGGUAAAAUCCGUAGAGAUCAAGAAGAAUACUCAUUGCGAAGGCGACCUGCUAGAACAUAACUGACGCUGAUGCGCGAAAGCGUGGGGAGCAAACAGGAUUAGAUACCCUUGUAGUC
rnacentral:rRNA from 1 species